rnacentral:rRNA from 1 species
UUUAUGGAGAGUUUGAUCCUGGCUCAGGAUGAACGCUGGCGGCGUGCCUAAUACAUGCAAGUCGAGCGAACGGACGAGAAGCUUGCUUCUCUGAUGUUAGCGGCGGACGGGUGAGUAACACGUGGAUAACCUACCUAUAAGACUGGGAUAACUUCGGGAAACCGGAGCUAAUACCGGAUAAUAUUUGAACCGCAUGGUUCAAAAGUGAAAGACGGUCUUGCUGUCACUUAUAGAUGGAUCCGCGCUGCAUUAGCUAGUUGGUAAGGUAACGGCUUACCAAGGCAACGAUGCAUAGCCGACCUGAGAGGGUGAUCGGCCACACUGGAACUGAGA